AGCAAGAUGAUGAAGUACUAUGAUCUGAAUGUUUCUGUUGAAUACCCAAAAUAGUAUUGGUCUUCAAAGUUCUCUGAUUGGU